rnacentral:rRNA from 1 species
AUAACGCAGCGAAAGCUGUGCUAAUACCGCAUAAGAUCUACGGAUGAAAGCAGGGGAUCGCAAGACCUUGCGCGAAUGGAGCGGCCGAUGGCAGAUUAGGUAGUUGGUGAGGUAAAGGCUCACCAAGCCUUCGAUCUGUAGCUGGUCUGAGAGGACGACCAGCCACACUGGGACUGAGACACGGCCCAGACUCCUACGGGAGGCAGCAGUGGGGAAUUUUGGACAAUGGGCGAAAGCCUGAUCCAGCCAUGCCGCGUGCAGGAUGAAGGCCUUCGGGUUGUAAACUGCUUUUGUACGGAACGAAAAGUCUCUUUCUAAUAAAGAGAGAUCAUGACGGUACCGUAAGAAUAAGCACCGGCUAACUACGUGCCAGCAGCCGCGGUAAUACGUAGGGUGCAAGCGUUAAUCGGAAUUACUGGGCGUAAAGCGUGCGCAGGCGGUUAUAUAAGACAGUUGUGAAAUCCCCGGGCUCAACCUGGGAACUGCAUCUGUGACUGUAU